rnacentral:ncRNA from 1 species
UAUUCCGGCUAUUCGUUUGCAGGUUACUCGUGGCCUGAGUGGUAGAAGCAAAGCUACUGCUAGUCACUAUUUGUGGCGACACCUUCAAAUUGCGUGAAAGCCGUCAUACAGCUUCAAGUACCACUUCAAUUGAGAAAUCUUUUAAAGGAACAGAGGUAACUCCUCUUCCCACUGGUAAAAAGCUUGAAGACAAGGUGGCAAUGCGCAGCCAAGCUCCUAAGUUGAUAAUUCAAUAUGGAGAAGGUUCAGAGAGCAGACGGAAGUGGAUGGUAAUUUAGCUACUUAAGGUGUGCUCCAGCCUCUAUCGAAAGACAGAG